AUGCGAGCGGUAAGAGUGCGGCGGGACUUGGAAAUCGAAUCUGUGCUCUGUGAGAGAUCCUAGGAAAGGAAACUGGGAGCCCGGGAGAACUAAAAUUCCCAAUUAAAAGUGAAUUUAAGUGAGUUUUCUCUUUUUAUUACAUAAUUCCUUACCAUAAACAGCUGUUGUAAAUGCGCAAAAUGCGGCAUUUGUUGACAGUACCUAGAGCCACUCAUUCAUUCGUUCAACAGUGUUUAUUGAGCAGCUGAGCUGGAAUGAGAGGCUAUGUUUGUCGUUUUUGACACCCCUCCCCUUUCUGGGCCAUCGCCUAAUUACCGUGGAGCAAACGGAAUGCAUGGUUGUAUUUCUAAAGGCACAAGCAGAAAUUUAUUGAAAAUUUGGAGCAGAAAUCUUUAAUGUACUUCUGACCACCCUUCCUUUUGUUGAGUAGGAUCCAAUGAUCAGCGUGAGAUGAUCAUUGAUUAAACUUGCUUGAGAUGGCUAGUCAAACGUCGAAACUUGCUUGAGAUGGCUAGUCAAACGUCGAAAAUCAAAGAAAAAGUAGGUAACUAGACUUUUACAAUUUUUUUUAAAGGGUAAAAAGACAUGAACCCUAGUCUGCCUUAAUGGCAAAGUAGCACUUAUUAGGUUCUCUGACAGAACCAAGGAAUAGGAAAAUCUUUUAUCAAAACUACGGAUAAAACUUAAAAAUAAUUUGAUACAAUGAUUUGGUCUUGCUGGAAUCAGUAAAUUAAAAUACGGAAGCAGAAUGAUAAAAUCAGGGGCAUUAAACAUUCCUAAUGACAUGCCAAGCUAUUUUAGAGACAGCGGCAAAAGCUUCUCUACAGGUGGGUUUGAUGUAACGCUCCGGCAGCAAGAAUCCGUAUGUGCCCGUAUCUCGAAGUUCAAUUGUAAACGAAUAUUUGAUGCCCAAAUCAUAGAUCCAAUCGUCCCCACCUCCAGGAGCUAGGUCUAAAAGAAGAAGAAAGAAAUUGUUGAAAUACAGACGUUUCAAAUUAAUUUACAAACUGGGAAUUGUUUGAUUUAAAUGUUUAUUUGUUUGUAUACCUUUAGAUUUUUUUCAGUUUUUAACUAAUAUAAACAACUUUACAAUGAGUACCCUUGUUUAUACAUAAUUGCUUCUUUGUCUCUUUAGAAUAUUCUUCCCUAGAAUAGAUUUGCUAGUCUAAGGCUCUGUACUUUUUGCAAUUACGGCAUGUUCCCAAAUGGACGUCAAAAGAACUGAAUUCAUUUAUACUUCCACAAGCAGGGUAUGAAUUUGCCCAUUUCCCCUUCCCAUACCAUCAAUAGGAAUUAUGAAUUCUGAUAAUUUUAUGGGCGAAAAAUAAUAUCCAACUGUCUUAAUUUAUGUUUUUUGAUUAUCAGUGAGUUGCACAUUUGUUUGGCAUAUUUAUUGGCUAUCUUUAUAUUUCCUAUCAAUUGUCCUUCCUCAUUUGUCUACUUGGUUCAUUUUAUCAAUUGCUUAUAAAAACGACAUUAGUGUUAUUAGCUUUGUUUGGCAUGUAGACCUUUUUUUCUCCUUUCAUUCAUUUCUCCUUUCACAAGAAUUUUUUCUCCUUACUGAGAUUUCAACUUGGUUUAUGCAGGGUUUUCAUAUGAAAAUAUAUGCUGUACCUGGAAUUUACUUUGGUGAAAGACAUGUUAAUAAUCCAAUUAAUUUUUUUCUAGGUAACUUGUUAGGUUUUCCAACCGCAUUAAUUGAAUAAUCUGACUUUUUUUGGGGGGGUGCUAAAUUGAGUCCAGGUUUAUGGCAAAGUCUGACCCAAAAUUUUAAUUUAUAAUUUUAGCAUCUAUCUAAUACAGUUUGGGAAGCAUCUCAUGAAAGCUACAAUUGCCAGAAGACUUGUUACAGUUUAAUGCAUGUUAACUAAAAUGUGUACAUAUUUUAGUGUUCAUGAUAAAUACAGUUUCGACCUUUUUUGAGAUGGAGUCUCACUCUGUCACCCAGGCUAGAGUGCAGUUGCACAAUCUCAGCUCAUUGCCACCCCCACCUCCCAGGUUCAAGUAAUUCUUAUGCAUUAGCCAACCAAGUAGCUGGCAUUACAGGCGCCUGCCACCAUGCCCAGCUAAUUUUUGUAUUUUUAGUAGAGACAGGGUUUCACCAUGUUGGCCAGUCUGGUCUCGAACUCCUGACCUCAAGUGAUCCUCCUGCCUCAGCCUCCCAAAGUGCUGGUAUUACAGGCAUGAGCCACAGCACCUGGCCUCUUUUUGUUUUUUUCUAAUCAUUAAAAAAAAAAAAAAAAGGAAAAACCUGGAUUUGGCCUUCAGGCUGUAGUUUUCUGAUGCCUGGUUACAGGUUUAUUUUAUGCUCCUCUUUUCCCAUCUCCCUUCAAACUUCAAAAGGGCAAAAUCAGUCUGUCCUCCCACUGUGUGUAGAUAGGAGUUACUCACUAAAUAUCUUUCAGCAAAAAUUAAUCAAAACUUUUUGUUAAGAGUUUGUCACAAGUUUUGUGUGUGUAAUAUAUAUUAAAGACAAUCAACUGUAAUGUGUUAUGAGCUAUACUCUUGGGAACAGGCUAACACUAAAAAACACUUGAUGCAAAUGGCAUGCCCUAGAUUAGUGUAGUGUACAACCUGCACAACCUUCCAUGGUGGCCCUGGGAAUCAUGCAAAAGUUUUAUGAACUUUUCUGCUUCACUCAACUAGUAUGAUGCCAAUUCUGUAAUUCCUACUUGAUUGUGAUAAAUAUGAUUUCUUAAAUAGGAUUUUGGCUUCUUUUUAGUAACUCAUUUAUUAAUAUAGCUUUGUUCAGCAUUGUCAUAGCUAUUAUGCUUCUGUUCCUAAUUAUUACAAUUCAGUUGUAUUACAUGUGACCCUAUUUAAUUCAGAAAAAUUAAAUACACAAAGAAAAACAGAUCACACAGAUUUCUUUAGUAGCUCAAAGUUCUCUAAGAUCAUAAGAAGAAAUACUUACAUAAGGUUUCUGAGCCAUGGCCAUGUGUAUACCUGGUAUUUUUACUAAUUUUCUCAAUAGCACGAACUGCUUCACUGGCUACUAGAGACUGGAAGCAACAAGAUAUAGAAUUUCAGUUAAUGUGCAGCUUUGAAACAUGACAAGUAGAAGUUUCUAAAAAAUAAUCAUACAUUAAUUGAAUCAAAGUAUACAGGUAGAAAAUCUAGAUUCAUCUAAAAGGCAAAUAAAUAAGGUAAACAAAUUAAUUUAAAAU
rnacentral:lncRNA from 1 species